ensembl:snRNA U6 U6 spliceosomal RNA
GUGCUCACUUUGGCACAAUAUACUAUAUUGUGCACAUAUACUAAACUGGAACAACACAGAGAAGAUUAGCGUGGCCCCUGCACAAGGAUGACACAUAAAUUCAUGAAGCAUUCCAUAAAUAU